AUACGGAGGGUCCAAGCGUUAUCGGGAUUUAUUGGGUUUAAAGGGUCCGUAGGCGGGAAAAUAAGUCAGUGGUGAAAGCCUGCAGCUCAACUGCAGAACUGCCAUUGAAACUGGUUUUCUUGAAUAUAGAUGAAGUGGGCGGAAUAUAUCAUGUAGCGGUGAAAUGCAUAGAUAUGAUAUAGAACACCGAUUGCGAAGGCAGCUCACUAAACUAUUAUUGACGCUGAGGGACGAAAGUGUGGGGAGCGAACAGGAUUAGAUACCCUAGUAGUCC
rnacentral:rRNA from 1 species